UCGUUUGAUGAAUUUUGUAUGAAAAUAUCACAAUAUUUUCAAAAUCUUGCCAUAUUUGUCACAAUGGUUGGAUAGAGUUGGGAAAUGAGUUUUCUUGAUCAGGAGUUAUUUGAUACUGUCUGCUUAUGAAGCUAUCAACACAGGAACUCAAAAUAUGCACUCGAAACUUGCAUUCCUAAUAUAGAAACUUAAAUUAAAUUGUCCAAACUGAACCCACAGUAACCAAGUCACGAUUCCAAAAUCAGAUUGACUGAACUAUCCUAACCUCUGAUUAGUGGACAAUUGUUUGCUGAAAUAUCACCGUUGGAUAUGUUUGGAUAUGUUUCAUUUCAACCAUACAAUAAAAAUAUAAUGUCCAUCAAUACAAUGGUUGCAUACCCAUGUGUAAUUUUUGUUUAUAAUACAUCUAAGUUGGCACCCAUAAUAUAGUCCAUUCAAGUUUAUUACUUGUAUACCACAUGUAAAAUUUCUCAGUGGCUGUGUAUCAUCCAUCACACUCUUCAAGAGUAUCAGAGUCUUCCUCUUUCUUGAUUGGGAUUUGGUUUGCUAAGCAAUGACAAAUCCCAGCUGUGGUGCAUUGACAUGACACUCCCAUCUCAUUUAUCUGUAGGGGAUCUUUCUGGCCUGUCUGUAAUGAACCAUCUUUGGGUUCGUUGCCACUCUUAAUUCCAACUUGGUUGGCUGGGUCACUGAAUCCAGACCGUCCAUCCAAUGUGCUCUUCCAAGAAAAGGCUGUUGUACAAAAAUCACACUGAUUGGAGGCUCUCAGCCAUCUUUGUAGAAAACUUCCCUCCCCAUUGAAUGUGAACUAUUGAAACUUGUUCCACGGAUCACUUUCAAUGUGUUUUUCCACAGUAGUAAGGGCUACUAGAUGAACUGUCUGAUUCAUUUUUCAUUCAUAUUGCCACGUGUACAUUGAAGCAGCGAUGAACUGAGAUCAGUUUGUUGCAAUAGAACUAUAGAAGGGCCUCUUAUAUGUGUAGGCAAGUAGAUUGAUCUAGUACUGGGUUACUUGGAAUAAAGAGAUCCAUAGAUUUGAAAACUUUUGGUUUUGGGUGGUUUGGUUGUUGGUGGGUAAGAAUUAGGAAUAAAUGGAGAGAUUUUACUCAUGAGAAAAGCUUUUAAACUCAACCAGACUGAUGGUUGUUACGAAGUCACUUAAAAAUUGUACACGUGGCAUGCAAGUAAAAUCUAACUGUCAGAACUGUGAGCCCCAUUUUAGAUUGAUCAUGAACUAAAUUGGGUUGCUAAAUAGAUGAUUGAUGGAUGUUUAAUGGACGGUUGUAAUUAAAAUUAGUCAGUGGUCUGAAAUUGAACAAACAAGAUGUCCAUUGAUCAGUGUUGAGGAUCCUUCAUUCCAUCUGAUUUUAAGGCAAUGUCCUAUCUAUGGUAGGUAGCACGAUUUGGAUGGUUUAGAUUGGGUUGCCACGUGUACAAUUUUUGAAUGACUAGGUAUCAACCAUUACAAUAUGCCCGAGUAUCAAAUAACUCCCUUUGUUCAUCUGAAUAUUUCCUCCAAGGGUCCUUUCAUUACAAGUUGGCAGAACUUGUUGGGACUUUUGAGUGCAUGCUUUCACAUCCAAAGAUCACAUCCACUGACUAGAUGGGCCCCCCCUUUCUUAUAUGGAAAAAAGCUAAUGGAAUUCUAGAGAACUGUCCAUGCAGCUAUCAAUGCAAAACAGGAACUAGAAGAUUUCCACAACCUUUCUGUCUCUUCAACCGGGGUGGCAGGUUAGAUUUAGGGACCCAUUAAUUAUUUAUACAAUUGCACCCACCUUCUUUUACAAAUGCUAACUUUCUUUCUAUUUAUGGUCACACAACAGUGCAAUUUGUACCAUUGGAUCCACAAAAAUUGAAAUAUAGGGUUUAUGUACAGAAAAAAGGUGUCGUUUCGAUUAGAAUCAUUUAACCCUGUAAAGAAGAGAUACUCCAGUGCUCUGGGGGCAACAAAGGUUAUGGGGCUGUGAGCUGCAUGGGAGACUUAGUCUAGUCCAUUGAUCUAGACUGUUCAUUAGGUCCAUUGCAAAUUUCAAGGGCUACCAAGAAAAAUUACACUAAUCUGACAAGCAUUAACCACUUGAUCAAUGGCUUUAGAAGUAGACGAUCGAGAUCAUUUACACAAAAGUGAAUCUAACCAACAAUUUGAUUUUUCUAUUUGUUAGGGACUCAUGGACUGCUUAUGAUUCCAAGAAAUCACAUUUUUUAGGCAAUGUUAACCAUCCCAUCCAUGGCUUGGGAAAAGGAUGGCUAUAUAAAAUAAGACCAAACCAAGGAUGGAUUGGAUCAUAGUAUCCAUAUCAUUUUCACAUGGUAUCCCAUGAAAUUUAUUCUGAACUUAAUGGAUAGUUCAGAUCCAUUGAUUGGAUUAUCCAAGUGGACCCAUGCAACUAGGAGUGCUCUGAGAGUUAUGGAGCAUUUCUCUACCAAUGAGAGGUUUGCUCGUCUUCUGUACAUGCACCUUUAAAAACAGCAUAUGCGCCAACAGUAUGUGGAACAUCUGGCCAGCGAAUAAUGUGGUCCCCACCAUGAAGAUGAACAUGGAAAAAAAAAAAUCAGACCAAUCUACAUGUCAUCAUGCGAGCCACACAUGUAAGUUGAAGGUGGACUGUUGGCAUUUUUUUAUUUUUUAUUUUGUAACCAUCCACUCUUUUGUAUAGAGGUGGCCCACUGGACAAGUGGACCAGCUUGAUAUUUUAGCAUGGCCAUGUUCAUGGCGGGGUUCCUUUCCAAAAAAAAAAAAAAAAUCUUCAUGGUGGGGUUUCUCACCACUCUGAUUUUUCACUCAGCUGCCAGGUUGGCACAUGUGCUGCAUGUCAAGGCGCAUUUGGGGCUAUCAAUAUAAUAGCGUUUAUUGUGUUAUAAAUGAUCGUAUUUAUUGUUUUUGUUCGCUUUACAAAUUUCAAAACGUUAGUUGGAGUAUCCUUCAGUUUCUCCGCGCAGUGAACCAGUUCAUGUUUUUCUGACUCUAAUCUACAUGUGAUUGUUUGGCUGGUAAUCCUGACCAUCCAUCCGGUGGGUUCUUCUGUAGACGUCCUAUGGUACAAAAACUACACCUAUUGUAGAAUCCUAGCCAUCUGAUUAAUGGACUUUCUUUUUCUGAAUCUGAACCACAAUCAUACAUCUAAAGUUAAGUAUUUAGCAAAAUAUUUAUUUCUUUCUACUGUUAGCAAACGUUACCAAGUCAAACUAGGAUUAGUUGAGUUAGUAAUUGGUUUCUACUUGUUGAGGUGUGUGAAGGUGGCUUGGAAUUCAAGAUUUCUUACCACCGUAGUUGGUGGUUUAGGAAAGUCUUGGAUUAGGUAUCUUUCAUGGUGUUUGCUAGUUAUCAUGUUAUACUAUUGUUGCGCUAGUUACCAAACAAUUUACUUUGGGUCCUUGUUUUACUUAGCUUAUUACCUUGCCAACUUACCCACCAGGGUUCCUUCACUAAUUUAGGAAAACAACAUAAUGUGCAUAAAAUCGACUUUGUUCAUCAGGUAAACCAUACCUUGUUUGGCCUUGAUUCGAAAAAUCAGGUUAACUCAAUUUUAAGGUGGGUCACUCCAUAAACUUAUACCCUCUAAAUUCAUGUGGUAUGGACUAACUAAAGCCUUGGAAUAUUGUUCUUUUGGGCAAUUCUUUCAUCACGAUGAAACACAUCAUAAAAUGUCUUUUCAUGUCCCUUAACUACAUAAAGUUAUCGGCAAUUGGAAACUAAUUGCAGGGGAGAAAAAUGCCCCCCACUAUUCGUGUUAAACUAUAGAUGUGUGGAACCUUCCAACAAGGUAUGAUCACUAGGGCCCCUCUCUCUCUCUCUCUCUCUCUCUCUCUCUCUCUCUCUCUCUCUCUCUCUCCUGAUGAUCGCAAUGUUAAUGAUUAGUGGAGAUCGUCAUUGAAAGAAGCUAGUGGGAAGAUGAACUGUCAAAAGAGGCUAUAUAUGACAUUGGCCGCUGGAUUGCUGCGGCAUAUGGAUCAGGUGGUGAACUCAGUGGCGGAUGGGCUCGCUUGGCUGGGGAGUGGUACUCAAGGUAAUCGGGAUUACCUGUCAUUGGGAGACCUCCUUCCCCUAAUCCAAGGCCUCUUGUUCCUAGAUAGAGUGGGCCUAGGUGCGAUACGUGAGAGGUAGGUCCUUUUCUGCCUUGUCUCCACUAAGAUAGGUGGGCCUGCCUCCCUUUUCUUGGCAGGCCCUCCCGAAUUAUGUGCCUUCAUUGCUGUAUCCUUCAGUUCCUAUGAAUAUCUUCAAUACUUCAUUUUU